UGCCAGCAAUUGCAGGGGAGCCAGUCGAUUAGAUCGACCCCAGUACGAAACUGGUACUUAAUUUAUCGACCCCGAAAGGAUGAAAGGCAAAGUCGACAUCGGCGGAAUCUGAACACAGACCAUAAAAACGGACAAAACGCCG